rnacentral:lncRNA from 1 species
UAUGGUAGAAUGACUUAUAGUCCUUUGGGUAUCUACCCAGUAAUGAGAUUGCUGGGUUGAAUGGUAAUUCUUUUUUUAGCUCUUAUAGGAAUCACCACACUGUCUUCCACAUGGCUGAACUAUUUACAGUCCCAACAACGGUGUGAGUUGGAUACUAUUAUGAUGCCUACUUCCAGAUGACAAAACUAAGACUCAGAGAAUGCAUAUAUCUUUGGGCAAGGAUAGUAUGGGAUGAAGCCAGAUUCCUGACCAGGUAUAGAGUUCAAGUACCAUUUGGUCUCAAUAUCUUGUUGAGGAGAUAAAUGAAACAAGAUAAAAACCAUUCAGUGGGCUCUUUCCGCACAGAAAAGCACACAGCCUGUUAUGGAAUAAAGAAUUUGUAGCUGAACUGUUCUACCCAACGAGGUCAUGAAUUAUCACAAUCUGGGGAAAAGGACAAUUUCUGGUGAAAAUUAUAAAAUUGCUGACUUCCUGACUAAGAUUCCAGGAAAUCUGAGAUUUGACACUCCUAUCAGAAGCUAAGGAGAGCACAGGGGAAGUACACAGGCAAUAUAUAAGCUUUCUCUACAGAGUUUCAAAAAUCCUGAAGCAAAGAACGUGAUAACUCCUAAAAUUCCUGUUGUCACACCUGUAUGGGAAAUGUUUAAUGGUGGUUGUUUCUUAAAGAAAGAAAAGAGUGUACACAUGAGUGCUAAGCCAUUAGAAAUAAACAUCAACAAAAAAAAUUAAUUUUAUUGAUGUAGAAAU